rnacentral:rRNA from 1 species
GUGGGGAAUCUUGCGCAAUGGGCGAAAGCCUGACGCAGCUAUGCCGCGUGAAUGAUGAAGGUCUUAGGAUUGUAAAAUUCUUUCACCGGGGACGAUAAUGACGGUACCCGGAGAAGAAGCUCCGGCUAACUUCGUGCCAGCAGCCGCGGUAAUACGAAGGGGGCUAGCGUUGCUCGGAAUUACUGGGCGUAAAGGGCGCGUAGGCGGACAGCUUAGUCAGAGGUGAAAGCCCAGGGCUCAACCUUGGAAUUGCCUUUGAUACUGGCUGUCUUGAGUUUGGGAGAGGUGAGUGGAACUCCGAGUGUAGAGGUGAAAUUCGUAGAUAUUCGGAAGAACACCAGUGGCGAAGGCGACUCACUGGCCCAAUACUGACGCUGAGGCGCGAAAGCGUGGGGAGCAAACAGGAUUAGAAACCCCGGUAGUCC